GAAGUACUCGUUCUCUGCAAAUUCGAGCAAUUCCCAUCCUUCAAAGGAUGCAAAGGAAACAGAGGUUUCUCAUCAAGUUUGGUAGAGCUCACAAGGCAAAGUUCUGAAUCCCUCUCAGGUGACUGGGACCCAGGAAGCCCAAGCCUGAGCUCAGUUGCCUUCAAAUUCAGACAGCUGCCAUUGCUGCCACCCGAUAUGUUGGAAAUUGUAGAGCUGUCCACCGAUGAACACUCAGACAAUCCCAUAUAGUUUCGCUCUUUGAAAACU
rnacentral:lncRNA from 1 species